AUUUUACAAAUGAUCCGAAUCAGAUUCUGCUUAUUUUAAAAUAUUUUUAAGUGAAAUUGAAGCUAAUAUCGCAUAAAUUUAUUUCAGCAAUUGAAUAAAAUUGUAGCAUAAUCUUUACAUACAUGUCUAUAUAUAAUCAUUAUAUUUGCUAUAUCUGGAAUCUGGAUUCAUUAUUGACUUCUGGAACUGUGAAUGAAAGUGUCACUGUCUGAGCGGCGUGUGAUGCUCUCGUGUGUCCGUACUGGAGUUGAUGGGCGGGCAGAGUUCGCAGGGGUUCCCCCAGGCUCCGCCCAGCGAGCAGCAGCAGGAGGCGCGGGUCACGCCCACCCCGAUCUCAGCGCUGCAGGAGAUGCCUCCGUCGCCGCGGUCCAGUGUGUCCAGGAAACAGUUUCCCACACGUGUGUCUGCCAGAGAACAGAGGAGAGCCACAUUAGCUUCACUGCCGUCGUCAUUAGAGUGAAAUCCUGAGGCGGGACGGUUUCAGUACCCACGCAGCCCACGCCCGACGGGUUCAGCUCGAAGUCCGGCGGGCAGUUGCACAGAUACAGUGACGGGUGAGAUGUUGACCUGUGCAGUUCCUCUCCUCCAUGGUGAGGGCGAAACCGCUGUCACAGCGGCAUCUGAAGCUCCCGAUGGUGUUCCGGCACGUCCCAUGGUGUUGGUGGAGUCCAGCUUGCUGCCGUGAGAACAUUCGCAGUUGAAAGAACCGGCUACGUUGCGGCACACGCCGUUGAUGCAAGGGUUGGAGUCGCAUUCGUUGAUGUCUGAAAAAGAGGAGGACAGGUAUGUGGAGAUGUCUGGACAUUCUGAAAAGAAAAAUUCACUUACGCUGUCCACAGUGAGUUCCUGUGUAGCCCUUCUGACAAGAGCAGGCAUCUUCAUUACAGACCCCUCCAUUCAUGCAUCUGACGCCGCAGGACUGGACUGUACAGAGACAAGAGAGGUGAUUAUAAUUCGUCUAGAGCACUCAAUUGUACUCAGUAACAAUGAACCAUGCAUGCAGCUAAAAGUAACUCCAUUAUCUGGGAAUAACACAAAAAAAUCAGUCAGAAACAUUCUUAUAUUACAAAAUUAAUUUCCAGGAAUUAGUUGUUUUCUAAUAAACUUGGCAUUGUACACUAUGAAUAUUGUUGCUUCUGUGAUGAAUUGCACUAAAAGUGCUGUGGAAUUUAUUUUUAAACUAUUUUAAACACUCAGAAAUUGCUAAAAUAAAUAUCACAAAUAAUUACAGAGAAAUAGCAUGUAACACACUGAUUUGCUGACUAUUUGAUGAAAAUGAAGAUUCCUGCAGAAAUGGAGAAAUAUUGAAAAUAAUAUAAAGCGCUGUAUUACAAAGCCUCAUAUUUUGAAUAUUGCUAUAUUAUUCAUCUUUACAUAGGUAACUGUAUGUAUGCCCUUACAUUGGUGUACAUUUCAGUUUACUGUAUCUCCCUCUCACUAUUUAUUUUAUUUAGUCAUACUUACAGUAAGUAUUUGAGAAAGACCUUUAAUUCUUAUACUUCUUAUUGUUUUUCCAAUAUAAGCAACCACCAAUUCGAAACUGUGGUAAGAGCAAUUUAACUCAGCCAACAAAAGCCUAUUUUCAUCCUGAUUUUCUACCAGACAUUAGAUUAACUUUCCACCAAUUUUCACGAAAUAGGAAUUCUCUUGGCACAGACAGAGUCACUUAGCAAAGAAUUUUCAGUAGAGUUUGUAUAUGAAAACAUUGUGAUUUAAAAUUGCAUUUAGCUGACAUAAGCACAAUGAAUCAUCUCUGAUGGGACUCUCGCACCAAGUUUUUCAAAAGAUUCAUGUUCCCGAUUGGUUGCAUCAAAAUGUUGCUCUCGCCAAACUCUUUGGUUCUGUCUAAACAAAGGCAUCGUGCCAUUACGCUUCAGCCCUAAUAUAAUUCAAGCUACUACUUAUCCCAGACAAAAAAAUAUGUAACAGUUCUUCAUUUACUCCUUUCAUUUUUGCCUGCCAUGAUCUAAUCCUUUUAAAGAAACUUAAAAAAGACUAAACUAAAUUAAAAUAAAUUUAUUUUUUUGUAAAAAAAAAAAAAUCUGAUUUUUGUCUGAUUUCACAUGAAGAAUGCUGCUGGAUGGAGAUCAAACAUGAGUGCUUUUUGUUUUUUCGCUGAUGACAUGCUUUCAACAGCAAGGCCUGUAAAUGUUCGAGCAUAGGCUGUGUUUUCCUAAAGCGCAGGAAAUGACUUCAUUUCAUUGGCUAGACCUGCUGACGGCCCGCUACAGGUGGUUCGUUCGCUGACCCAUGCUAAGUGAGCUGCACGUGCUGAGACACACACGCAAACACACACAUGCAAAAGGGGCUCCCCGAGGCCUGCCAGCCCACAAUGCACCUCUGUCUGCAGCAGUCACAUCUGUCAGUUUUUUACAAGCUACGCUGACGGCAGGAAACAUGAGCAAGGCUGAAAAACAGAGGUCCUUUAUGGCCGUUUCUUUCUCACGGCGCAGUGUGGAAUGGAGAUCCGUGGCCUGUUGACAUUAGGCUCACCAACGAGACAUAAUGGGGUUUAAGAUGAAAACGAAUCGUUUCUUGAAUUAUAGCAGGAAGCGCUAGUUCUUGUUCUGCGUUCUAUUACAAAUCCAGAGAUUCAUCUUAAGAGCUAUUGGCCAGGAUUAUUAUCUAAAACUAAAAUGAUUAAAUAACAUUUUCAUUACUUGAAAUACAAUAAACGUUAACGGAAAUAAAUAUAAACAAAAAAUAUAAACAUAUUUUAUUUAGUUGCCAUGGCAACAUUUCUCAUUUUAAUUUAUUGUUUAAGUUGAAGUACUAAAAUAUCUAAAACAAAACUUUUCUUUCAUUUAGCUGCCAAGGCAACAUUUCUCAUUUUCAUUGAGUUUAAGUACUAAAAUAACUAA
rnacentral:lncRNA from 1 species